UUGGCCCUGAAUCAAGGCCCCCGGUUUGCCGUAGCCGCUGGUUUCAAACAGGAGCCCAGAGGAAACGUCUCCCGGUCUGUUGGUGCUCCUGUCCUGUGGAGCGGCCAGUUCGUGUGGGAGCGACAAGC
rnacentral:snoRNA from 1 species